ACGAACGCUGGCGGCGUGCUUAACACAUGCAAGUCGAACGGUGAAGGGGUCUGCUUUUGUGGGCCCUGGAUGAGUGGCGAACGGGUGAGUAACACGUGAGUAACCUGCCCCCUUCUUCUGGAUAACCGCAUGAAAGUGUGGCUAAUACGGGAUAUUCUGGGUCUGUCGCAUGAUGGGUCUGGGAAAGAUUGCGCCUUUGGGUGUUUUUGGUGGGGGAUGGGCUCGCGGCCUAUCAGCUUGUUGGUGGGGUGAUGGCCUACCAAGGCGGUGACGGGUAGCCGGCCUGAGAGGGUGGACGGUCACACUGGGACUGAGACACGGCCCAGACUCCUACGGGAGGCAGCAGUGGGGAAUAUUGCACAAUGGGCGCAAGCCUGAUGCAGCGACGCCGCGUGAGGGAUGGAGGCCUUCGGGUUGUAAACCUCUUUCGCCAGUGAAGCAGGCCUGCUCCUUGUGGGUGGGUUGACGGUAGCUGGAUAAGAAGCGCAGGCUAACUACGUG
rnacentral:rRNA from 1 species